rnacentral:rRNA from 1 species
GAUGAACGCUGGCGGCGUGCUUAACACAUGCAAGUCGAGCGAGAAGUUUUGAAAAGAUUCUUCGGAUGAAAUUUAAAAUGGAAAGCGGCGGACGGGUGAGUAACGCGUAGGCAACCUGCCCCAUACAAAGGGAUAGCAUUUGGAAACGAAUAUUAAUACCUUAUGAAACUUAACUAGUGCAUGCUAGGUAGGUCAAAGAUUUAUCGGUAUGGGAUGGGCCUGCGUCUGAUUAGCUAGUGGGUGAGGUAACGGCUCACCAAGGCGACGAUCAGUAGCCGACCUGAGAGGGUGAACGGCCACAUUGGAACUGAGACACGGUCCAAACUCCUACGGGAGGCAGCAGUGGAGAAUAUUGCACAAUGGGGGAAACCCUGAUGCAGCAACGCCGCGUGAACGAUGAAGGCCUUUGGGUCGUAAAGUUCUGUUCUAGGUGAUGAAAACUGACAGUAACCUAGGAGAAAGCCCCGGCUAACUCCGUG